UCUUCGGCUACAAUGAUAUCGGUACCAUCAAAUAUUUGAUGCUAUCAAAUUUUUUAUCGUUGUAUCAAUCAUUUUAAUCAUUUUUAUCUGUUAGAUCAUAUUAUUCAACUAAUUAUUCACUCAAUUCUAGACACCACUAUCAUCCUAAACAUACAUCGUUUCAUCCAAAAGGAGAAAACUUAAUAGCGCUUCAUCCAAAAGCCGAAAACUUAAUAGCGCCAAUGACUUGAUGGUAUUCAUAGUAUUCUAGUCUAGUUCAUAUAAUAGAAUAUUCUAAGGACUAAUUAGUAUUGGCUGAUUACAUCACUAAAUGAGCCAUUAUUGAAAUGCUAUGUACUUAAUGAAUGAAGCAGAUAGCUUGCUACCUAUUUCUCAAAAAAAAAAAAAAAAAAAUGCUAUGUAUCAUGAAUACUUUUGUAAGUCUUGCGUGUCCGUGUCGGGCACUUGUCCGAUAUAAACACUACUUGGAUGCCCAUUUAGUACCAAUUCAUAGCACAUACAACUAAUAUAUAUAUAUAUAUAUAUAGAAUUAGGCUACUAUACUAUCUAUAGUACCGAGCUCCGGUACUAUAGUGUUGGUUUUCGAUCUUAGGGCGUUCAAAUCAACGAUCCACACCGUUAAAACUGAUCUAGGGUAUAUGAAUUUCUUAGAAAUAAAAUUUCAGUUUUUUUCGAUAUCGUUUACUUAGUAAAUAAAUUAUAUCAAAAUGGACGGUGGAAAUUGAAUAAUCUUUAAAAUUUGAGCAUAGGACUUUUAAAUUCAAGAUCAAGAAUGUUAACCUUAAUCUAUAUAGUUUGAAGUAUUUUCUAUCAAAAUUUGAAGAAAUUUAGAUUCUUCUACACCGUUAAACUCCAAACUCGUCAUAAUAGCCAUUGAAAAUUGACAAUUUUGAAAUGGUUUGAUCAUAAAGUAAACUAUAUCGAAAAAAUUUAAAAUUUUAUUUCUAGAAACUUUAAAUACCCUAGAUCAGUUUUAUCGGUGUGGAUCGUUGACUUGAAUGCCCUAAGAUCGAAAACCAACACUAUAGUACCGGAGCUCGGUACUAUAGAUAGUAUAGUAGCCUAGCUCUAUAUAUAUAUAUAUAUAUAUAUAUUAUUUUUUCUAUGCACAUAUAAUAUAAGAUGAUAAAUAUUUUAGUUUUUUAAUAAAUACAUAUAAUUUUUUUUGAUAAUAUAAAUAAAUUAUAUAUAGUGGCGAUAUUUUUUUCUUAAAAAUAUGAACUAUCAAUGAAAAUUUUACUAACUUUCAUUCGUGUUAGAAAUAUAAUAAUAUUUUAUCAAAAUUAAUAUUUUAUAUAUAAUAAAAAUAUAUUAUUAUAUUAAUAAUCUUAUAUUUUAUUAACAAUGUUCAUAUCGUGUUCGUGUCCUAAUUUUUUAAAAAUUACUAAGUUGCGGUGUCCGAAUCGUAUCGUGUCUCGUGUCUCGUAUC
rnacentral:lncRNA from 1 species